rnacentral:rRNA from 1 species
AAAACAUGUCUUAUUGAUAAUAAUUUUAAGUCUAAUCUGCCCAAUGAAAUUUUAAUGGCUGCAGUAUCAAUAACUGUACAAAGGUAGCAUAAUAAUUAGUUUUUUAAUUAAAAACUAGAAUGAAAGAUUAAAUGAAAUAUAAACUAUAUAAAUAAAAUAAAAAUUUAAAUUAAAUUUUAAGUUAAAAUUCUUAAAUAUAAUUAAAAGACGAGAAGACCCUUUAGAAUUUUAUAUUAAUUUAAAUUAAAAUUAUAUUAAUUAUUAUUUAAAUUUUAAUUAAUAUUUAAUUGGGGUAAUUUUACAAUUUAAUAAACUUUUAAAUACCUUAAACAUUAAUUAAUGAAUUUAUAAUCCUAAAAUUUAGUAUUUUAAAAUAAAUUACCUUAGG